GGAAUCGAUAACCGCUGAAAGCAUCUAAGCGGGAAGCGAGCCCUGAGAUGAGUCUUCCCUGAUACUUUAAGUAUCCUGAAGGGUUGUUCGAGACUAGAACGUUGAUAGGCAGGGUGUGUAAGCGCUGUGAGGCGUUGAGCUAACCUGUACUAAUUGCCCGUGAGGCUUAACCAU
rnacentral:rRNA from 1 species